UUGAACGCUGGCGGCAUGCUUUACACAUGCAAGUCGAACGGUAACAGGGAGCUUGCUCCGCUGACGAGUGGCGAACGGGUGAGUAAUGCAUCGGAACGUACCCAGUCGUGGGGGAUAACGUAGCGAAAGUUACGCUAAUACCGCAUACGUCCUGAGGGAGAAAGCGGGGGACCGUAAGGCCUCGCGCGAUUGGAGCGGCCGAUGUCGGAUUAGCUAGUUGGUGGGGUAAAGGCCUACCAAGGCGACGAUCCGUAGCGGGUCUGAGAGGAUGAUCCGCCACACUGGGACUGAGACACGGCCCAGACUCCUACGGGAGGCAGCAGGGGGGAAUUUUGGACAAUGGGGGCAACCCUGAUCCAGCCAUGCCGCGUGAGUGAAGAAGGCCUUCGGGUUGUAAAGCUCUUUCGGCAGGGAAGAAACGGCAGGCUCUAACAUAGCCUGCUAAUGACGGUACCUGAAGAAGAAGCACCGGCUAACUACGU
rnacentral:rRNA from 1 species